UGCAUUCACUACUGUAAGUCACUCUGGAUAAGAGUGUCUGCUAAAUUACUAAAA
rfam:Salmo salar isolate Sally breed double haploid chromosome ssa27, whole genome shotgun sequence.